rnacentral:lncRNA from 13 species
AUGAAUACAACUACAGUCUGUAAGUCACAUAGAUGCGGUUUAGUGAGUUACAACUGUGGUGAUAUUUGUCUGUUUACAGUGUGCAGCAGACUUUCCAGCCUCAUUGAAACUAGGACAGACAGAAUUGAAAGCUCAGGAGAAACCAAGCCUCCAAACAAAACAGGUGACCUUCGCAAAUCUCCCAAGAAGAAAGGGUUGCUAAAGAGAGUUUGGAGGACUGCGAAACGAGUCAUCUGUGGCUGCUGUAGACAUGCCAGGAGCCAGGACUAAAACACAUAGUCAUUGUUGGCCUCGUUCGACACUUUGUAAAACAGACAAAUCAAGUCUUUUUCAUGCUUGAAUCUCUAUUUUGUCAUUUAAAGCAUUGUUGACAUGAUUACAUUCUUUAUUCAUUACAUUUUACAGGGUUGUUUUCUAAUUUUCUAACUGUGAAUUUGUGUGUAAAGAAUAUUCUAUUACAUCAGUGGAAACCCCUCAUAGAGUUACAGAAUCAGGACUUCACAUCACAAUUGGUAAAUAGUUACUUUAAAAAAGAUUUGCCCUAGUUGUUUUUAAAUCUAACGCAGAAAGUGUAUUUAAGGGAUUGGUACACAUCUAUUGUAAUCUACUUUAACCAUUAAAAGGGGGUGGCGACAGAGCUCGCCUCAUUAAAAAUGAAUGGCUCUGUCAGUGUGGUUUGCAAUGGGUCCCAUUAAGAGAGUGUAUGACUUCACAUUAGCACAUAGAAGACCCCAGAGAACACAGUUAUGGGAGCAACCAUAAAACAGCAUUUAUAUAAUAUAUUCUAAUCUAAGCCAAAAGUGUAGCCGAGGCUAUAGCUCAUUAAUUAAUACAGUAUGUCAUGUCAGUGGUUGCUCAUUCAAUUUCUAUUCAUGCCUAUAGGCCUACAUUCCCUACCUGUAAACAAUGGCAAUGGGCCCCUGAACUUAGUCUUGGCUUAACGCAUUAGAACAAAGUCUACAGUGAAGGUAGGCCUCUUAGUCUAUAGCCUACUGUAACACCAUCAUUUUAAGUGUUGGUAAUCUCAGGCUCAGUUAACCCUAUUGUGAAAUAGGCCUAAAUAAAUAUGAAUAAUAAAUAAGUCUUCAAGUCAAAGAACCUUAAAUAUAUACAUUUUCUAUAGAAGCCAGUUUUAACAAAUCCUCAAUGUACUGUCAUCUGUUUUUGUUGUCUACUUCUAAAAGACUCCUAGCCCACCAGUCCGUUUCUCAUAAACAACAGCUAAUGCACCAAAUUCAAUUACCAGAGCAUUAUGACGUGAAUUCAGUGGAAGAGGAACAUCAACGAGCCUAAUUUAUGCAGCAUCAUAUUUCUAGCAGUAAUCGGCCUCUAUUAGGGACAUGCGAUACCAGGGCCCUCUGCUUUAAACAGAUAAACAAAAACACAAUCAAUCACAGUUUAGUGGCCUGUAUAGUCCUAUCAGGAUUAGGCCCUGCUAUGACCAUUAUAGUAACAAUAAUACUGUUCCUGGUUGGUCGAGUUACUCCUCCAAAACCAUAACUAGAUAAAAUCCCCCCCGCUUCUCCCCUGCCUACCCCUCACGCCCCGCAGUUAGGAACCACUGGACUAUACUGUCUAACGCGUGAAAAGCAAACAAAUCACUCCUCUAAACAUAAGUGCUAUUAAUUUGACACAAGGGCCUCUUGUGCUGUGCUUAAUAAUUCUGCCUUACAGGGUCCAUUACCCCCAUUAUUGAUGUAUAGUCCGCUCCAUGUUCCAUGGCACGCUUAUCACGUCUGCAUUAAUUAUGGACAAAGGCAGCCUUGUCAGGCCAUCAUCCUUACUAAUAGAUGGCUCCCAAUAUCCUGACAUUAAAUCAAGGGGGGAAAUGGAAACAUGACUUCAGAUCAGUGUCUCAGGACAACAUCAUCCUACUCCCUCUGAUCCACUGAAGGACCCCAGAAUACAGCACUACUCUGGGUGAAUGCAGUACUGUACGUUACUCUGCUAAUGCUUCUGUGUUCAACAUCACCCAGAGAUCUCUGUCAGGCAUGGUGUGUGUGUGUGUGUGUGUGUGUGUGUGUGUGUGUGUGUGUGUGUGUGUGUGUGUGUGUGUGUGUGUGUGUGUGUAUGUGUAAACAUGUGUUGAGCAUAUGUGUAGAGAAUCUGUGUUUGUUUAAGAUCCUUCAACAUGCAUGAUAUGUGUUUAAUGUGUAUGUGGGUGUAUACUGAACAUAUCUGUUUCUGUGUUUCAUGUGGGUUUGUUUUGCUUGUUCAAUGUGUGUGUGUGGGAUGAUAUCUGUGCUGCAUUAAGUGAAGAAUGGCAGGAUGCUGCGUGGGUGAAUACACAGAUUCCCAUCAGUUUAGACUGUAAUAAAAAGCAGGACCUGCAUUUAGAAAAAACAGAGUAAAUUGUGUGAAUCCAGAAAAUCCCACACCACAGCUAUUUCACACCCACAUACUUCCCCUACCCUUAUCGCCCUGCCGGCUCAGAGUUUGGGGCUGUGUGUGUGUGUCUGCGUGAUUGUGUAUGUGCGUGUGUGUGUGUGUGUGCGUGCGUGCAUUUUUGUGUGUGAGUGCAUGUAUGUGUGUGUGUGUGUGGCUACAUGUGUGUGUGUGUGUAUGUAUGUGUUUGUGGCUCUUCUACGCACAGUUGUGUUUCUUGGCUCGGAGAUUAAUCAAAGCCUGGCCUUCCUUUGAAAGAGAAGCUAAACUCUCUUUUCAGAAAAGAGGAAACUAAAAUCUUGUUUUAGAAGUCAGGAGACUAAAAUCCUUAUUUUGCCCUAUCUUGAGCCCCACAUUUUUAGAAAAAUGCUUCUGUGUUCAACAUACCUGUUUUGCAUGUUAUUUUGGCAUUAAUACGUGUCACAUAUCAGUUUGCAAACAAUACAAAAAAAUUAAAAAUAAUUUAGUUACUAAAGCCGCAUACAAACAUGGUCUCUUU